UGCCCACUGAUAAUUAAUUAAAGGGCUGCAGUAAUUUGACUGUACAAAGGUAGCAUAAUCAUUAGUCAUUUAAUUGAUGACUUGUAUGAAGGAUUGGAUGAAAUAUAAACUGUCUUUAAUUUAUUUUAUAUAAUUUAAUUUUUUUAUUAAAAAGUUAAAAUAUUUAAAAAAGACGAGAAGACCCUAUAGAGUUUGAUUUUAAAAUUAAUUUAUUAUUAUUUUUAAAUAAAAUGAGUUAGUUAUUAAUUUAAAUUAAUUUUAAAAUUUUGUUGGGGUGAUAAAAAAAUUAAAUAAACUUUUUUUAAUUAAAAACAUAAAUAAGUGAUAAAUUGAUCCAAUAUAAUAUUGAUUGUAAGAAAAAAUUACCUUAGGGAUAACAGCGUAAUUUUUUUUUUUAGUUCACAUAAGAAAAAAAGUUUGCGACCUCGAUGUUGGAUUAAGAUAAAAUUUAAAUGUAGAAGUUUAAAGUUUUUGA
rnacentral:rRNA from 1 species